CAGCCGCCGCGGGAAUACGUAGGGUGCAAGCGUUAAUCGGAAUUACUGGGCGUAAAGCGUGCGCAGGCGGUUAUGUAAGACAGUUGUGAAAUCCCCGGGCUCAACCUGGGAACUGCAUCUGUGACUGCAUAGCUAGAGUACGGUAGAGGGGGAUGGAAUUCCGCGUGUAGCAGUGAAAUGCGUAGAUAUGCGGAGGAACACCGAUGGCGAAGGCAAUCCCCUGGACCUGUACUGACGCUCAUGCACGAAAGCGUGGGGAGCAAACAGGAUUAGAUACCCGAGUAGUCCCUGUCUCUUAUAC
rnacentral:rRNA from 1 species